rnacentral:rRNA from 1 species
UUCCCCUUCGGGGGACAAAGUGACAGGUGGUGCAUGGUUGUCGUCAGCUCGUGUCGUGAGAUGUUGGGUUAAGUCCCGCAACGAGCGCAACCCUUAAGCUUAGUUGCCAUCAUUAAGUUGGGCACUCUAAGUUGACUGCCGGUGACAAACCGGAGGAAGGUGGGGAUGACGUCAAAUCAUCAUGCCCCUUAUGAUUUGGGCUACACACGUGCUACAAUGGACAAUACAAAGGGCAGCGAAACCGCGAGGUCAAGCAAAUCCCAUAAAGUUGUUCUCAGUUCGGAUUGUAGUCUGCAACUCGACUACAUGAAGCUGGAAUCGCUAGUAAUCGUAGAUCAGCAUGCUACGGUGAAUACGUUCCCGGGUCUUGUACACACCGCCCGUCACACCACGAGAGUUUGUAACACCCGAAGCCGGUGGAGUAACCUUUUAGGAGCUAGCCGUCGAAGGUGGGACAAAUGAUUGGGGUGAAGUCGUAACAAGGUAGCCGUAUCGGAAGGUGCGGCUGGAUCACCUCC